CUUGGUCAUUUAGAGGAAGUAAAAGUCGUAACAAGGUCUCCGUAGGUGAACCUGCGGAGGGAUCAUUACAAGAACGCCCGGGCUUCGGCCUGGUUAUUCAUAACCCUUUGUUGUCCGACUCUGUUGCCUCCGGGGCGACCCUGCCUUCGGGCGGGGGCUCCGGGUGGACACUUCAAACUCUUGCGUAACUUUGCAGUCUGAGUAAACUUAAUUAAUAAAUUAAAACUUUUAACAACGGAUCUCUUGGUUCUGGCAUCGAUGAAGAACGCAGCGAAAUGCGAUAAGUAAUGUGAAUUGCAGAAUUCAGUGAAUCAUCGAAUCUUUGAACGCACAUUGCGCCCCCUGGUAUUCCGGGGGGCAUGCCUGUUCGAGCGUCAUUUCACCACUCAAGCCUCGCUUGGUAUUGGGCAGCGCGGUCCGCCGCGUGCCUCAAAUCGUCCGGCUGGGUCUUCUGUCCCCUAAGCGUUGUGGAAACUAUUCGCUAAAGGGUGUUCGGGAGGCUACGCCGUAAAACAACCCCAUUUCUAAGGUUGACCUCGGAUCAGGUAGGGAUACCCGCUGAACUUAAGCAUAUCAAUAAGCGGAGGAAAAGAAACCAACAGGGAUUGCUCUAGUAACGGCGAGUGAAGCAGCAAUAGCUCAAAUUUGAAAUCUGGCGUCUUCGACGUCCGAGUUGUAAUUUGUAGAGGAUGCUUCUGAGUAACCACCGACCUAAGUUCCUUGGAACAGGACGUCAUAGAGGGUGAGAAUCCCGUAUGCGGUCGGAAAGGUACUCUAUACGUAGCUCCUUCGACGAGUCGAGUUGUUUGGGAAU
rnacentral:sRNA from 1 species